rfam:Gossypium hirsutum cultivar TM-1 chromosome 26, whole genome shotgun sequence
AACCCAUGGUGAGGGCACAUUCUCAAUAAAUCUUUGUAUUUUCCCCAUGCAUCAUAAAGUGUUUCUAAAUUCAUCUGCAUAAAAGAAGAGAUAUCAUUCCUUAACUU